rnacentral:tRNA from 1 species
UCCAUAGUAGCUCAACUGGUAAAGAAUCUGCCUGCAAAACAGGAAAUCCAGGUUUGAUUCCUGGGUCUGGAA